GGCCACACUGGGACUGAGACACGGCCCAGACUCCUACGGGAGGCAGCAGUAGGGAAUCUUCCGCAAUGGACGAAAGUCUGACGGAGCAACGCCGCGUGAGUGAUGAAGGUUUUCGGAUCGUAAAGCUCUGUUGUUAGGGAAGAACAAGUGCGAGAGUAACUGCCGCCCUUGACGGUACCUAACCAGAAAGCCACGGCUAACUACGUGCCAGCAGCCGCGGUAAUACGUAGGUGGCAAGCGUUGUCCGGAAUUAUUGGGCGUAAAGGGCUCGCAGGCGGUUUCUUAA
rnacentral:rRNA from 1 species